UGGGGAAUCUUCCGCAAUGGACGAAAGUCUGACGGAGCAACGCCGCGUGAGUGAUGACGGCCUUCGGGUUGUAAAGCUCUGUUAAUCGGGACGAAUGGUUCUUGUGCGAAUAGUGCGAGGAUUUGACGGUACCGGAAUAGAAAGCCACGGCUAACUACGUGCCAGCAGCCGCGGUAAUACGUAGGUGGCAAGCGUUGUCCGGAAUUAUUGGGCGUAAAGCGCGCGCAGGCGGAUUGGUCAGUCUGUCUUAAAAGUUCGGGGCUUAACCCCGUGAUGGGAUGGAAACUGCCAAUCUAGAGUAUCGGAGAGGAAAGUGGAAUUCCUAGUGUAGCGGUGAAAUGCGUAGAUAUUAGGAGGAACACCAGUGGCGAAGGCGACUUUCUGGACGAAAACUGACGCUGAGGCGCGAAAGCCAGGGGAGCGAACGGG
rnacentral:rRNA from 1 species